AGCUCCAAUAGCGUAUAUUAAAGUUGCUGCAGUUAAAAAGCUCGUAGUUGCAUUUCCGAGGCAAGGGAUUAGUCCGACCUUUGGUGGGUAUUUAAUCCUCUUGCCUCGUCCUUGAGUGGUGCUUCUUGGUAUUAAGUUAUCGAGGAGAUAGCCGCUCAUCGUUUACUGUGAGAAAAUUAGAGUGUUCAAAGCAGGCUUAUGCCGUUGAAUAUAUUAGCAUGGAAUAAUAAGAUAGUACCUCGGUACUAUUUUGGUGGUUUGAGAACCAAGGUAAUGAUGAAUAGGGACAGUUGGGGGUAUUCGUAUUCAGUUGUCAGAGGUGAAAUUCUUAGAUUUACGGAAGACGAACUACUGCGAAAGCAUUUACCAAGGAUGUUUUCA
rnacentral:rRNA from 1 species